rfam:Drosophila sechellia strain Rob3c scaffold_3 genomic scaffold, whole genome shotgun sequence.
GCCAGGUUGGCCGAGCGGUCUAAGGCGCCAGAUUUAAGCUCUGGUUCUCGAAAGAGAGCGUGGGUUGGAAUACCACACCUGGCA